rnacentral:lncRNA from 1 species
UAGACUCAAGAUGCUGAAACCACUACAACAGAAUUAGGGACACAUGUUUAUCAUAUUUUUAUGUAAGUGUCAUAUUUAUGUCAAAACUUUUAAAAAAACGUACUAAUGCCUAAAUAUAAAGUACAAUCCAACCAAAAAUAAAAGGGUACUCUACUCAAUCCACCCUACCCAACUCAUUCGGCCCGAUUAUAAACAAAAAAGAAAAAAAAAAAAGAAAAAUCGAUUACCAUUUCCCCUGCUCCCCUCACUCAAUCGACUGAAAUUCUAGACGAAGAUCCCUUCCUCUCGUCCUCUUCCGCCACCGCAACCAACGAGAUAAAGUUCUGACAGUUGCUAGAUGCUUAAAUAAAUAUUGGUAAAUUAGCAGCACUCUUUUAUAUUAUAGCGACACUCUUUAACUGUCACUAUAUACCUUACGACCUCACAUAUAGCAAUAUUUUUUAAAAGUGUCGGUAAUUUAGCCAGCAGCAUUUUUUUUAACUUAUACUGACAUUUAAAAGUGUCGUUAUAAACAUUUUUGUUGUAGUGAUAACAAUCAUAAUUCUUUAAAUAUUUAUGCUGUUAAGAAAAUA